rnacentral:rRNA from 1 species
AUACGAAAGGUGCAAGCGUUGUUCGGAUUUACUGGGCGUAAAGAGAUCGUAGGUGGUUUAUUAAGUCGGAUGUGAAAUCCCGGGGCUCAACCUCGGAACUGCAUUCGAUACUGGUAGACUAGAGUUUGGGAGGGGUAAGCGGAAUUCCGUGUGUAGCAGUAAAAUGCGUAGAUAUACGGAGGAACACCUGAGGCGAAGGCGGCUUACUGGACCAAUACUGACACUGAGGAUCGAAAGCGUGGGUAGCAAACAGGAUUAGAAACCCUGGUAGUCC